UAACACAGACUUUUUGAAGAAUAGGCUUUUUGAAAAAGAUCAGUUUUUAGUUAUCUAAAAUCCUGUUUACAUGUGAAUAACAUCUCUUAUAGAUGGCGACUGAGAGACACAUGAGAGAUUACUGGGGUGUUUUUUUUUUCUUUUUUUCAGGAUACACUUAUGCAAUUGUCCCUUAUUGCCAUUUAGAAGAAACUGAUUUUUAAAGAGAGUGAUUUUUCUUUCCUGUGGAGGAGCUCUCAUUACUCACUCUAUAUUGCAGAUUCUCAGCUAAUACUGGAGUUUCAGAGACCCAUCAGAGAGAGAGCCAGUGCACUGCUGCCCCAGAGACUCCCUCAGGCUUAUAGAUCAUUUCUUCCUUGUUUUAGGAACGACUCUGACAAUAACCUCCUGAUUCCCAUCAGCCCCGUGUCCGGCAGCAUUCCAUCACUCUUCGACGAUAUCGAUCUAGCCGUCUCUCUCGUCUGCCUCAUCAAUGCACACGUAUGACUGAGGACGACUGUGGGCUGACGUGCUGCAGCAUACGGACAAAAUGCAUUUCACCUCUGAUUCCAGCACACUUGGCUUUUCUGUCUGAGCUCUGGAUGAAGCACUGCAUCAGUCAGGAAGAGGCUGCUCAUAAUUUCACGCUGAGCUUGUAUCAGAGUUUUUUGUCCUGUCAAGUGGAGCGGGUCUCCCAUCAGCCAGUGGGCAGCGCCAGCAGCUGGCCAACCCAUGGCAGAAAAGUCAGAUAAAAGGUUCAAAAUGAAGCACAUUCUGUAUGGAAUUUUAUACAACAGGAGAUCCCAGAUUAGUUUAUUCUAAUGGAUGUGGAUUAAACGCCCUCUUGUGGGCCGGAGUCAUAAAUCCUCAAAGAUAAAUACAAAACCUAUCUAUCCAUCUAUCUAUCUAUCCAUCCGUCCAUCCGUCCGUCAUUCUAUCUAUUGUUUUAUUUGUUCAAUCUAUUGUUGUAUCUGUCUAUCUACACUGUAAAAAAAACCCUGACAUUUACGGUAAAAAGUCUGUAAAACAUUUUAGGUUUUACAGACUUAACUUAAAU
ensembl:lncRNA